rnacentral:rRNA from 1 species
GUACUCGAGUGGCGAACGGGUGAGUAACACGUGGGUGAUCUGCCCUGCACUUUGGGAUAAGCCUGGGAAACUGGGUCUAAUACCGAAUAUGAUCACGCUUCUCAUGGGGUGUGGUGGAAAGCUUUUGCGGUGUGGGAUGGGCCCGCGGCCUAUCAGCUUGUUGGUGGGGUAAUGGCCUACCAAGGCGACGACGGGUAGCCGGCCUGAGAGGGUGUCCGGCCACACUGGGACUGAGAUACGGCCCAGACUCCUACGGGAGGCAGCAGUGGGGAAUAUUGCACAAUGGGCGCAAGCCUGAUGCAGCGACGCCGCGUGAGGGACGACGGCCUUCGGGUUGUAAACCUCUUUCAGCACAGACGAAGCGCAAGUGACGGUAUGUGCAGAAGAAGCACCGGCCAACUACGUGCCAGCAGCCGCGGUAAUACGUAGGGUGCGAGCGUUGUCCGGAAUUACUGGGCGUAAAGAGCUCGUAGGUGGUUUGUCGCGUUGUUCGUGAAAACUCACAACUCAAUUGUGGGCGUGCGGGCGAUACGGGCAGACUGGAGUACUGCAGGGGAGACUGGAAUUCCUGGUGUAGCGGUGGAAUGCGCAGAUAUCAGGAGGAACACCGGUGGCGAAGGCGGGUCUCUGGGCAGUAACUG